rnacentral:lncRNA from 1 species
UUUUUCUUAUUCACUGAAAAUUGAUUCCAGAUUCUUGAAAUUUUGCAAAAUCUUAGUAGCUUUUGAUGUUAAUUUGGAUGCAGAAACAAAUAUUGACAUGAUAAUUUGGGUCAAGUCAUGAUGGUGAUAUAGUUAGGUUCUGGGUUGAAGUUUACUACUAUUACUCUCUUUUUAUUUUGUGCGCAAUUUGAAAUAUGAGAAGAUUGCGAUUAUGUGAAAAAUUCCCUGAGUGUAUCUGUCCAGUCUGUUGGAGUUGUUAAUCUC